GCGGGGAGCGGCCGCCGAGGGGAGGUCCGUCCGCAGGAGAGGCGGCAGUGGUUAUGCGUGACACCUCCGCUGCUGGCAGGUGGAGCUUGGCUCCUGAGGCAGUGAAAAUGCCUCCAGCACUCGAGCACUCAAUGGAGCCCUGGAAGAGGCUGCCCAGGGAGGUUGUGGAGUCCCCUUCUUUGGAGAUUUUCAAGACCCGCCUGGAUGCAGUCCUGAGUAACAUGCUCUGACAAGCCCUAGGCAAUCCUGCUUUAGCAGGGGAGUUGGACUAGAUGAUCUCUAUGGUCCCUUCCAACUCUAAAAAUUCAGUGAAAUUUUUCCAGCCUUUACAAAACCAUCCUCUUGACCUGCAGAUUGUGUUGCUGGCCGCCUGCGAGGCUUGCACGUUCCAGCUUUGCUCACACAAAUUAAAAAUGCGGUUAAAAACUAAAGGCGCCUUCAGCUGCCACUUUCAGGCAGGCGUCGAAUAUCGGAUGCAUCGUGGCAAGCUGCAGUUCUGCAAGGGAUGGAUGCUUGAACUCAGCUCUCAUCUUCUUGGUAUGCUUCAGUGGUUAUUUAAAUUAGAAAAAUGUUAUGAAGCCCACUGGACAUAACAUGCCGUAGGACUCGGCGGUGGUUGAGUGUUGCUAAUCUAACAGUAGCCAAAAGUGUAUUUAUUUUGUAAGGAUAUGAACCUUAAAAAAAAUCUGUGCAGACAGAUAACAGACUUAAGGCAUUGCAGUACCUAAAAAUCAGGCUUCUCAUUUUCAUUUGUCAUUCCACACAGACUGCUUCUUGAGCCUUGGGGCACUUAAGUGUUUAGGUUUGGAUCAGGGAUGCACUUUUGAAGUAAAUGCUGUCAUCAUCUCUGCUUACAGUGCUUUGAUUCACACUGUGGAGUGGUGCUGGAGUGCAUGAAGUAGAUCCCUUUUGGAUGAAGCUAAACUGGCAGAGGUGCUUCAGGGUGCACCUAAUGCGUUCCAGCCACAAAUGGGCACUCAGUGGGACUCAAACUGAACUGGUUGAACAUUAGGAAUCCCUGAAAUGUAUAUCAUUUGGAGAUCAGGCCCUCAGUACCAACUGUUGCACUCCACAGGGCAACAUCGUCCGUAGCUAUAAAGAUAACUUGAGCUGAAGUUCAGCAGCUGCUGUCUAAAGGGUAGAAAAUGUGCUACCUAUGUUGCUAUUCCAGAUAUUGUCAAUGCCUUUUGUGGUCCCUAAUUAUCCCCCUAUGCCUGUAACUGAUGCCAGGAUAGAAGGCAGUGGGGCUACAAGUUAAAAAUUAAGAUAAAUGACUGCGUAACACUUUAAUGCUUAAAAAUAACUGAAUGAAUUUCCGGUAACAUAUGCUAGCAAUUAAAACAAUUUUUUUCUAUCAGUGUAUCUUGUCAUUUUAAUAUGAGGCCAGAUUGUAAGGGAUGUAGUACAUGUUGAAUUUUUGUGAGAAGCCAUAGACAGAACCACUGUUGUGGCAAAAUCUGAACAGAGAACUGUGGAUUUUUUGUUAUAACCUACAAAAAAUCAAUUUCCUUUUCUUACAGUGCUUCUCACCAGUAACCAGUUUCACACACCAACAUGGUGUAGUUACUCUUUUUACUGAGAUCUGCUUUCUUUCAGAUGUUUCUCAUAAUACGAUAUGUGACAGAGAAGAUAGAAUACUUUGUGUGAUAGAGAAGAUAGAACACUUUAUAACACUUAAGCUUUGCUUCAAUAAGAACAGCAGUCCAUAAUUUUACAUGCCUGAAAUCAAACAUCAGAGCUCAGUUGUCCUCUGGGUUUCUUCAGUAUUCAUCAUAAUAUUUUUCUCUCUCAUCUUGUGGUUGUAACAGAAAUGUUGGAGUACAACAGAUUUUUGUUUACUGCAUCCAAAAAUUUAAGGCUAAUUUCACUCAACUAAAAAGAUGGAAUUUUAUAAUGAGAACCCUUGCAAAUCAGGCAUGGAUGUGGAGGCCAAGCCCUUUUUUUCUGACAUGAAUAUCAUGGUCUAUAAUAGAGAUUUUGUUUUGAGGAGCUAGAUUAGGCUCCACCAAGUCACUAAAAUAAAUAGUGGAAAAAAUAUGAUUUACCAGGUAGAACAAGCAUGUAUGAGUCCAAAUACAAAUAAGCAGCAGGUCUUACUGAUAACAACAUUUUUAGACAUUAUUCCCCCCCCCCAAAAAAAGAGGGGAAACACCCACGUUUGGGCCACCUGGGUGGUUUUUCCAGGAACUCCUAAGUGGGUUGUGGAAUGAUCCAGGCCAGAGACAAACAGGUGAAGACAGCAGCCAGAUUGUCUUGGCUUCCUUUUUUUGGUCCCACAAACGAGCUGGCUCGCUGUCAGGCUGGCCCUCCAGUGCAGAUCAGAGCAGUCUGAUCUGUUCUGCUGGAAACGGCGUGAAGUGCCAAGUCCUACACGUGUCUUCUCUAGGAGUGCCUAUGAGUCACUGUACCAGCUAGGCGUACAGGCAGCUACUGGUUUGAUGGCUAACCAAAGUAAUACAGUCUCCGUAGGAAAGAGCUGCUCCCCCCCUGCAUCCGUAUCAAGCCACUGACACUGAGAGCCAAGUAGGAGUAAAUGUGAUGUAAGCAUCGGUGGAAGUGGAUGGCAAGAGGACACUGAGUGAGUAGGAUUAUCCACACGGUUGAGAGAGGUAGAAAUGUAAAUACACGGUGCAAGGUACUACCCAGAGCAUUUUAGAAGAGCCUUUAAAAAGACAAAAAUCAAUGGGAGUAUUCUCCUGGCUGAAAAGUGCAGAAAUUGGCACAUGGGUAGGAGCAGAUUAUUCAUUUAUUCUUUCUUGCAGUGAAAUUUCAUUACAUACAGAAGAAACAAAAACCAUGAAGAAGUGAAUAGAUAUUGUUUCUUUCCUAGGGUCUUGAGAGAAAACAAUGCAACAAAAGGGAGUGAUGCUGGUUUUAUUACUAUUUGUUACAAACUAGCUGUUGCUUUCCCAGGAACCAAGCUCUCAUUUGAGCAAGCAGUAAUUUAAAAAGAAUUUUAUCAUGAAUUUCCUAUACAGCCUUGCAUAUUUAAUACAUGCAAUAAAGGCCGACAGUGACAAUUCUCAGGUGGUGGAGUUUGCUGUAACUGCACUGACAUUCUUUUACAAAGCUUUCCUUAAAAUGUGUAUUUUAAAAUGUGUAAUUUGCAAGUAUUACUCUUGAAUGGCAUCAUUUCAUUUUGAAGACCGGGCACGUGAUCAAAGAGUUAUGUCUUUAUUCUUCCCUGUGAGAUCAUUUCCACACAAGGGCUACAAACCAAUUUUUCCCUCCUCCAUUCGGUGGGUGCUGCAACCAUCCUUCACCGAAAUGGCAAGUGGUUCACUCCACAGGAUUUGCCGGGUUCGGGUGUUUGUAGGGAUUCAGUAGGGAUGAGGGUUUUCUGCACAUCCCCCCGAGCAGCAUUGCUAGCUGCUCUGCCCAGGAUUUCUAAGCCAAACAGAGCCCUGCCGGGGAUGCUGGUGGGGGGAAGUGACAGCAGAAACGGGGCUUGGUCUGUAAGAAAUAGUUUUACUGUCUUAUUUAACAAGGACACGUUUAGGCUACAAAAAGUACCAGUGAUCUAGAGCUUACCUACUCUCUGCCUCCUAGUAUAAAAAUAGGUUUUCUGUGCUGCUUAGCCACCUGCUGUAUUCUCCUCUUAAGCAUUACCACUGCCCUUUAUUCUGGCUUCCUAAACAUGUGUGGGUAGAUUGCAAGAUACACAUUCUGCUUUUGCAGAGCCAGGACUCAGCCUAAUUAUAACCUGCAAGAUCAGGAUGUGACUGUUUGGACUUGCAGAAGCACAGAUGAAUAAUUGAGUUGUUGAAAUUUAAUUUGUUUAGAUAUUCUGAACUCUGUCCGCUUUUUACUGUAAUUUGUUGUGUUUAUGACAGUGCUGAUACCUGAUGAAAAUGACCUAUGUGUGCAAGCCAUCGUUUGCAUUGUAUUUUCCGAUGAAGUAAAUUGACUUUUAGCAAAGUAAAAA